UACGGAGGGGGCUAGCGUUGUUCGGAAUUACUGGCGUAAAGACGCACGUAGGCGGCUUUGUAAGUUAGAGGUGAAAGCCCAGGGCUUAACCCUGGAAUUGCCUUUAAGACUGCAUCGCUAGAAUCGUGGAGAGGUGAGUGGAAUUCCGAGUGUAGAGGUGAAAUUCGUAGAUAUUCGGAAGAAGCACCAGUGGCGAAGGCGACUCACUGGGACACGUAUUGACGCUGAGGUGCGAAAGCGUGGGGAGCAAACAGG
rnacentral:rRNA from 1 species